CUUCUUCGACUUGCUGUGGGCAAAUAAAAUGAAUAUGCGGAUCGAUGCCGCCUGCCGUCAAAAUUUUGCCCUCACCGGCAAUGACCUCGGUGCCGGGGCCAAUCACUAAGGUGACAUCCGGUUGGGUAUCGGGGUUACCGGCUUUGCCAAUACCGGCGAUACGACCUUUUUGAAGGCCCACGUCGGCUUUGACAAUGCCCCACCAAUCUAGAAUCAACGCAUUGGUGAUGACGGUAUCCAUCACGCUAUCAUCCGCCCGCUGGCUCUGGCCCAUGCCGUCACGAAU
rnacentral:sRNA from 1 species